AUUGAACGCUGGCGGCAGGCCUAACACAUGCAAGUCGAGCGAGCGGCGGACGGGUGAGUAAUGUAUGGGGACUGCCCGAUAGAGGGGGAUAACUACUGGAAACGGUGGCUAAUACCGCAUACUAUCGGAUAACCCAUAUGGGGUUAGCUAGUAGGUGGGGUAAAGGCUCACCUAGGCGACGAUCUCUAGCUGGUCUGAGAGGAUGAUCAGCCACACUGGGACUUAGGCACGGUCCAUGCUCCUACGGAGGCAGCAGGGGGUAAUAUUGCACAGUGGGCGCAAGCCUGAUGCAGCCAUGCCGCGUGUAUGAAGAAGGCCUUAUGGUUGUAAAGUACUUUCAGCGGUGAGGCGUUACCCGCAGUAGAAGCACCGGCUAACUCCGUGCCAGCAGCCGCGGUAAUUC
rnacentral:rRNA from 1 species